GGGUCCAUAGCUCAGUCGGUAGAGCAACUGACUUUUAAUCAGUAGGCCGCUGGUUCGAACCCAGCUGGACUCACCA
rnacentral:tRNA from 1 species